rnacentral:rRNA from 1 species
AUGACGUCAAGUCAUCAUGGCCCUUAUGUCCAGGGCGACACACGUGCUACAAUGGCCGGCACAACGGGAAGCGAGUUCGCGAGGACAAGCGGAUCCCUUAAAGACCGGUCGCAGUUCGGAUUGAAGUCUGCAACUCGACUUCAUGAAGCUGGAAUCGCUAGUAAUCGUGGAUCAGCCAAGCCGCGGUGAAUACGUUCCCGGGCCUU